UUCUCUUCUCACACACAAACACUAGAAUACUUUUCCUUCUCAUGCUCAAUUUGGGAGGUGGAAUCGACGAGUCAUAGGUAGUGGAGAAGGGGCUGGAGGGAGUCAAUGCAGUGAUCAACUCCGAGAAGCUGAGGGGAGGAUGCUUUGGUAUUCACAAGGAAGGUGGGGGAGAAUUUUGUGUUUGCUGAAUAUGAAGAGGCCCUUCACAUCCAUGAAGCCAUUGGACAUGAAGAAGGUCUUUUCUAAUGUUAUUGAAAAGUUUGAAUGAUCGAUUAGGGUUCUUGAUUAGUUUGAACCUUUCAAUCAUUGCUGUUUUGAGUCCUCAACCUUCAAAUUUUGGGUUUGCAUCCUCAACUUAUUUAAAUCCAUUUCACAACCAGAAUUUUUCCUUCAAAAUCAACCGACCCCUAAUUUUCCAUUAGAAAUCUCUCUCAAAAAUUCAAACUUUACAAUCUUGGUUCUUCUUUAGUUUUGAUUUUUGCCGUGCAGGAUGGGUUGGUUGGCGGGUGUGAAAAAAUUGAAUGAUAAUGGUCUAUAAUUCUUAAAUCUUGGUUAAAUGGCAAUAUAUUGUGCUGAGACUGUGUUUUAGUUAUAACUUUUGUGGGUUUUAUUUGCUGCAGCAAUGGCAUCUAGAUGAAUGGACUAACGACCCUACACAGCUUGGUGAGGCUAAGCAGAAAUUUUGACAAAUUCAAGAAGCCUAUUCAGGUGAUAUUUUCUUUUCAAACAUUUUUCUAUUUUGUUGAAAGAAUUAUUCUUCUGUUUGUUGAUUAUUGUUGGUUAAGAAGUAUAUGUUUAACUUCUUUGUUGAUUAGAUGUUGUUUGGCUAAAAACAAUGUUAUCAGAUCAUAGCAAGAGGACAAUGUAUAAUGCCGGAGUAUAUGAUCCUGACGAAAAUGAAGAGUAAGUCAAAGUAGGUGUUUGUUUAGUAUGUCCAGAUUUAAAUUAUUAAUGUAUUUUGGAGUGAUUUUUUUCCCUAACAGCAUGUUAAUUUUAUCCUGUGUACAGGGAUUUGCUGAUUUUCUUGAAGAAAUGAUGUCCGUUAUGAAUGAUGUGAGGAAAGAGGUAUGGAUAUGACAAGUUCAUUUUUAAACAACAUUUUCUUGAAUUCUCAUUUUUUUAAUUAUGCAGAAACCGUCAAUUUGAAACCUUUGACUUUGCCAUUUUUUAGCUGACAUUUUAUACGAUUUGUUUGGAGAAUGUUUAUAACAAUUCUUUGUUUCUCGGUGAAGAUCUACUAAUAGUUCUAUCUUACAAGUUUUAUCAUUUUUUCGGCAAUUGAAUUUGUAUUACUUUUGUAACUUGCUGAACAUUGCUUCCUUUCUUGAUAUGGUUUACAUUGUCAUUGUGAUCCAAUUGCUUUUCUGUAUGAACUAAACAUGGCAUUAAUUAUGCAUAAGGUAUGAAACUAAUUAAUCUUUAUUGAAUCUCAACAUAUAUAAUGUAUAUUUAGCGGUUGAUCUGAUAGUGCAAUUGGAGAAAAGACAUAGUGAGUGACAAUGUAAUUGGCAAUACAUUGUUUGCUUUCUUCGAUUUUCUGAUUGUCUUUAAGAAUGAUCAUCUAAGCUGUUGAUGUAGUUUCUUUAAUGUGAAUAUUCAUGAUUAAGUGAUCAAAUAUAUCUCGUGGAUAUUGUUUGUUUAGUUUUUAUGCUACUCUUGAUUUGAAGCAAUUUUGAAUUGACCCAUUUAAUUCUAUUUAGGCUCAUAGUGAACUGAAAGUUUUCGAUUUACGUAUAAAAUUAUUUUAUGAAAAAUAUGUGGUUUACAAUGAGUUUUCGGUUAAAUAGGAGGUCAAACAUAGGCUUAAAGUUCUCAAGCAUAAAAAGGCAGCGUACAGUGCAAAUUGUUAUUAGACCCAAUUUGCCUUGGUAAAUAUAACUCUUAGGGAAAAAAUAUGGAAUACAUGCUCAUUGUCAUAGAAUCUAUAUAUUACUUCUAUAGAAGUUGCAUAUUAUGAGCUAUCAAACAUAUAUUCAUCAGGAAUAAUCUUCCUUGGCGUCCGUUGGUUAUAUGUUAAAUAUUACUGGCUGUGAGAUGAAUAAUAAAGUUAGCUCAAGCAUUAAUUCUAAGAAAGCACCACAGCAUCGUCAAAAUGUAAGUAUAUAAUUAUUGGGGAAAAAUGAAGGUGGGGUAUUUAUUCGUGGACAUUAUUGCAUAUCUUAACCAUUUGAGAGGAUUUAAAUUGAUGGGCAUUGAUGAAUACAUUGUCUACCAUAGGAUUUGAUGCAAUUCAGUGUUGCAUUUUGUUACACUUUUCAUGGGACGGGAGGUGAUCUAUUUAGUGUACCUACAAAGAUGAUGCCAUGGGAAGAUAGCACGAACUCCCUGGCCAUGGCCAAGAGAGAAGAAAUAAAUAUUUCUUCCUCUGUAUUCUAGCAAUAUUAUUGGUGAAGAAUGAAGUUUUUUAUUUUUUAUAUUCUUUUUUGAUGAUUCAGUGAGAGCGAGUUUUGAGCUUUCUGGACAAGCUUGGAGUAGACAAGUGGUGCUUCCAUUAAAUUAAAAUAUUAUGAUGCUAGAGCACAUUCGACCAUCUAUUUCUUAAUUAUUUAGUGUAUAUAACCAUAAGACAUAAGACCUUAUUUCCUUUAGACCACAUCCCUUUUCAUUAAUAGAGCAUUCUCAAUGAGGUGUACUCUCAUCUGAUUUUUUCAAUCAUUCCACAAAAAACUUUUGUUGUAGUCGAUCUUUCAAAAUUUUUAGUUUUGUGAUGUGAUUUUUUUAUUCAUUUGUACCCUUUUUGGAACUCAAAUAGUGAUUUUACUUUCGUCUCAUGAUUUUCAGAUUUUAAGGUCGGAUCUUUUACAGAUAGCACUCCUUGUGAAUGUUCCAAUCUUUGGGUAUUGUGUUUAAAGCUAUAUUCUCGUUGUCAAACUAUAAGAAGUUCGUACACAUUUAUGCAUAUUCUCAAAUGAUUUUGUUCCUUUCUAUUAUGAUUGUAUGAAUUUAUUUAUUUAUUAUUUAUUAUUUUUUAUGUUUUAUUUUUUUAUCUUCCACAGAUUUUAUCUGGCUCUGAAACAUCGCCUAAAGGUAAAGCAACAACAAAUUAUUAUUGUAUUUGGUGGAGGGUAAUCUCUACUACUACUUAUAAUUUCAUUAUGCCUAAUUUUGGAAGUUUAAUAUCCCUGUUUCUUUUUAUAGAGUCAAUAUGCUGAACACAGUGAUGCAAUAUUGCUAGUUGUAAUUCCUGCUUCCUGGGCCUUGAAAGUUGCCACAUGUGAAGCUAUUAAAAUUUCUAAGGAGCUUGAUGGAGACCUUGCUCAAAAGGGGUUGUGGAAUUUUAUUUUAUUUUUUAUUGGAAAUGUAUUGGGUUCAGAAUUUUGGAUCUCGAUUUUGUAUGGACAUUGCUUCAUUUUGGAGUCAAUUAAUAAUGAUUAUUUGAAUUGAUAUUGUUAUCUUCUAU
rnacentral:lncRNA from 1 species